rnacentral:tRNA from 1 species
CUUAGCUCAGCUGGUUAGAGCGGCGGACUGUUAAUCCGUAGGUCCAAGGUUCAAGUCCUUG